rnacentral:rRNA from 1 species
AUAGCUGGUUCUCCCCGAAAUAGCUUUAGGGCUAGCGUCGAGGUAGAGUCGCAUGGAGGUAGAGCACUGAAUGUACGAUGGCCCCAUCCCGGGGUACUGAGUAUAAUCAAACUCCGAAUGCCAUGAGAUAUUCCCGGCAGUCAGACCGUGGGUGAUAAGGUCCAUGGUCAAAAGGGAAACAGCCCAGACCGCCAGUUAAGGUCCCAAAAUGUAUGCUAAGUGGAAAAGGAUGUGGGGAUGCACAGACAACUAGGAGGUUGGCUCAGAAGCAGCCACCCUUCAAAGAGUGCGUAACAGCUCACUAGUCGAGUGACCCUGCGCCGAAAAUGUACCGGGGCUAAGCAUACUACCGAAGCUGCGGAUUUGUAGAGAUACAAGUGGUAGGGGAGCGUUGCAUGCACGUGGAAGCCAUAUCGUGAGGAGUGGUGGAGAGCAUGGAAGUGAGAAUGCCGGUGUGAGUAGCGAGAUGUAGGUGAGAAUCCUACACACCGAUAGCCCAAGGAUUCCAGGGGAAGGUUCGUCCGCCCUGGGUAAGUCGGGACCUAAGGCGAGGCCGAAAGGCGUAGUCGAUGGAAAACAGGCAGAUAUUCCUGUACCCGCGAUGGAAAUGAAGGAAUGACGGAGAAGGCUAGCAUGAGCCACUUAUUGGAUUGUGGUCGAAGCGAAUAGCAGGUGCAUAGUCAAAUGCGUGCACGGGAUGUAAAACGUGACAGGUAAGCGAAACCCCUGGGGGGUAGCGAAGCAUGCGAGGCCAGCUUCCAGGAAAAGUUUCUAGUGCUAAUUCCAUAGCGGCCCGUACCAAAACCGACACAGGUGGGCAAGGAGAGUAUCCUGAGGUGAGCGAGAGAACUGUUGCCAAGGAACUCGGCAAAAUGACUCCGUAAGUUAGCGAGAAGGAGUGCUUAUGAAAGUAAGCCGCAGUGAAGAGGCCCAAGCGACUGUUUAACUAAAACACAGCUCUCUGCGAAGUCGCAAGACGAAGUAUAGGGGGUGACGCCUGCCCGGUGCUGGAAGGUUAAGAGGAUUUGUCAGUUUCGACGAAGCAAUGAAUUGAAGCCCCAGUGAACGGCGGCCGUAACUAUAACGGUCCUAAGGUAGCGAAAUUCCUUGUCAGGUAAGUUCUGACCCGCACGAAAGGCGUAACGAUUUGGGCGCUGUCUCAGCUGUAGACUCGGUGAAGUCUUAGUACCUGUGAAGAUGCAGGUUACCCGCGACUAGACGGA